rnacentral:rRNA from 1 species
UACGAAGGGGGCUAGCGUUGUUCGGAAUUACUGGGCGUAAAGCGCACGUAGGCGGAUCGAUCAGUCAGGGGUGAAAUCCCAGGGCUCAACCCUGGAACUGCCUUUGAUACUGUCGAUCUGGAGUAUGGAAGAGGUGAGUGGAAUUCCGAGUGUAGAGGUGAAAUUCGUAGAUAUUCGGAGGAACACCAGUGGCGAAGGCGGCUCACUGGUCCAUUACUGACGCUGAAUCGCGAAAGUUAGGGGAGCAAACGGG